AUACGGGAGGCAGCAGUGGGGAAUUUUGCGCAAUGGGGGAAACCCUGACGCAGCAACGCCGCGUGAGUGAUGAAGGCCUUCGGGUCGUAAAGCUCUGUCAGAGGGAAAGAAAUGUGGGGUGCUAAUAUCACUUCCACUUGACGGUACCCUCAAAGGAAGCACCGGCUAACUCCGUGCCAGCAGCCGCGGUAAUACGGAGGGUGCGAGCGUUGUUCGGAUUUAUUGGGCGUAAAGCGCGUGUAGGCGGUCUUUUAAGUCUGAUGUGAAAGCCCCGGGCUCAACCUGGGAAGUGCAUUGGAUACUGGGAGACUUGAAUACGGGAGAGGGCAGUGGAAUUCCUAGUGUAGGAGUGAAAUCCGUAGAUAUUAGGAGGAACACCGGUGGCGAAGGCGGCUGCCUGGACCGAUAUUGACGCUGAGACGCGAAAGCGUGGGGAGCAAACAGGAUUAGAUACCCGGGUAGUCCU
rnacentral:rRNA from 1 species